rnacentral:rRNA from 1 species
UAGUCCUAGCUGUAAACGAUGAACACUGGGUUGAGGGGACUUCCACAUCCUCUCGGCCGUAGCGAAAGCGUUAAGUGUUCCGCCUGGGGAGUAUGGUCGCAAGGCUGAAACUCAAAGGAAUUGACGGGGACUCACACAAGCGGUGGAGGAUGUGGCUUAAUUCGAGGCUACGCGAAGAACCUUACCUGGAUUUGACAUCUCGGGAAUCUCUCUGAGAGGAGAGAGUGCCUUCGGGAACCCGAUGACAGGUGCUGCAUGGCUGUCGUCAGCUCGUGUCGUGAGGUGUUGGGUUAAGUCCCGCAACGAGCGCAACCCUUAUUUUUAGUUGCCUUUUGGAACUCUAGAAAGACUGCCGGUUAUAAACCGGAGGAAGGCGGGGAUGACGUCAAGUCAGCAUGCCCCUUACACCCUGGGGCUACACACGUGCUACAAUGGGGCGAGACAAUGAGAUGCAAAUCUGCGAAGAAUAGCUAAUCUAAAAACUCGUUACUAAGUUCGGGAUUGUAGGCUG